UCGGAAUUGCGGCGUGCUAUACAUGCAAGUCGAGCGAAUGGAUUGAGAGCUUGCUCUCAAGAAGUUAGCGGCGGACGGGUGAGUAACACGUGGGUAACCUGCCCAUAAGACUGGGAUAACUCCGGGAAACCGGGGCUAAUACCGGAUAACAUUUUGAACUGCAUGGUUCGAAAUUGAAAGGCGGCUUCGGCUGUCACUUAUGGAUGGACCCGCGUCGCAUUAGCUAGUUGGUGAGGUAACGGCUCACCAAGGCAACGAUGCGUAGCCGACCUGAGAGGGUGAUCGGCCACACUGGGACUGAGACACGGCCCAGACUCCUACGGGAGGCAGCAGUAGGGAAUCUUCCGCAAUGGACGAAAGUCUGACGGAGCAACGCCGCGUGAGUGAUGAAGGCUUUCGGGUCGUAAAACUCUGUUGUUAGGUAAAUUCAAUUGCUACUUU
rnacentral:rRNA from 1 species